ACUUAAAUUGAAGAGUUUGAUCAUGGCUCAGAUUGAACGCUGGCGGCAGGCCUAACACAUGCAAGUCGAACGGUAACAGGAAGCAGCUUGCUGCUUUGCUGACGAGUGGCGGACGGGUGAGUAAUGUCUGGGAAACUGCCCGAUGGAGGGGGAUAACUACUGGAAACGGUAGCUAAUACCGCAUAACGUCGCAAGACCAAAGAGGGGGACCUUCGGGCCUCUUGCCAUCGGAUGUGCCCAGAUGGGAUUAGCUUGUUGGUGAGGUAACGGCUCACCAAGGCGACGAUCCCUAGCUGGUCUGAGAGGAUGACCAGCCACACUGGAACUGAGACACGGUCCAGACUCCUACGGGAGGCAGCAGUGGGGAAUAUUGCACAAUGGGCGCAAGCCUGAUGCAGCCAUGCCGCGUGUAUGAAGAAGGCCUUCGGGUUGUAAAGUACUUUCAGCGGGGAGGAAGGG
rnacentral:rRNA from 15 species